rnacentral:rRNA from 1 species
UGAAGCGGCAACAGCUCAAAUUUGAAAUCUGGCCUCCUUCAAGUGGUCCGAGUUGUAAUUUGCAGAGGGUGCUUUGGCGUCGGCAGCGGUCUAAGUUCCUUGGAACAGGACAUCACAGAGGGUGAGAAUCCCGUACGUGGUCGCCUGCCUUCGCCGUGUAAAGCCCCUUCGACGAGUCGAGUUGUUUGGGAAUGCAGCUCUAAAUGGGAGGUAAAUUUCUUCUAAAGCUAAAUACUGGCCAGAGACCGAUAGCGCACAAGUAGAGUGAUCGAAAGAUGAAAAGCACUUUGGAAAGAGAGUCAAACAGCACGUGAAAUUGUUGAAAGGGAAGCGCUUGCCGCCAGACUUGCCCGUAGUUGCUCAUCGGAACUCUUUGCUCCGAGCACUCUUCUGCGGGCAGGCCAGCAUCAGUUUGGGCGACCGGAUAAAGGCCUCUGUCAUGUAUCUUCCUUCGGGAUGACCUUAUAGGGGAGGCGUAAUGCGGCCAGCCCGGACUGAGGUCCGCGCAUCUGCUAGGAUGCUGGCGUAAUGGCUGUAAGCGGCCCGUCUUGAAACACGGACCAAGGAGUCUAACAUCUAUGCGAGUGUUUGGGUGUCAAGCCCGGGCGCGUAAUGAAAGUGAACGGAGGUGGGAACCCUCUUCGGGGGGUGCACCAUCGACCGAUCCUGAUGUCUUCGGAUGGAUUUGAGUAAGAGCAUAGCUGUUGGGACCCGAAAGAUGGUGAACUAUGCUUGAAUAGGGUGAAGCCAGAGGAAACUCUGGUGGAGGCUCGCAGCGGUUCUGACGUGCAAAUCGAUCGUCAAAUUUGGGCAUAGGGGCGAAAGA